CAGCNUUUGACAUCCUUGGUCGCGGUUAGAGGAGACUCUUCCUUCAGUUCGGCUGGACCAGUGCAGGUGUGCAUGGCUGUCGUCAGCUCGUGUCGUGAGAUGUUGGGUUAAGUCCCGCAACGAGCGCAACCCUCAUCCUUAGUUGCCAUCAUUCAGUUGGGCACUUUAAGAAACUGCCGGUGAUAAGCCGGAGGAAGGUGGGGAUGACGUCAAGUCCUCAUGGCCCUUACAGGCUGGGCUACACACGUGCUACAAUGGCGAUGACAGUGAGCAGCGAUCCCGCGAGGGGUAGCUAAUCUCCAAAAGUCGUCUCAGUUCGGAUUGUUCUCUGCAACUCGAGAGCAUGAAGGCGGAAUCGCUAGUAAUCGCGGAUCAGCAUGCCGCGGUGAAUACGUUCCCAGGCCUUGUACACACCGCCCGUCACACCAUGGGAGUUGGUUUCACCCGAAGGCGCUACGCUAACCCGCAAGGGGGGCAGGCGACCACGGUGGGAUCAGCGACUGGGGUG
rnacentral:rRNA from 1 species